CGGAGGGCUGGAGUUGGGUAUUUCCCUUCUCCCAGUUCAGUUAGGCUCUGAUAAUACCUCAGCAGGUUAGGUUCUGGUUAACUAGUUUCUCCUGAGGGCAGGCCUUGUUAAGAAGAACAGAAUGCUCUAGCGUAUUUCAAAAUGGUUCCUUUCGCCUCCUCCUGCCAGAAGCACAGAGGGAUUUGUCUCUGAUAUUCACCGUGAGAACAUGGCCAAAAUCCUGCAGAGCAACAUCAACCCAUAUGGAGCUGCUCAUUAGCCUGGAUUCUGGACUCAAGAUACUGAAGAGCUGAGUGCCAGCUGAUCUAUAAUGGGCAUGCAAUGUUUCUUCACUCAUGCUCUACUGCCGUCGGAGAGUUCUAGAGCUGAAUGCUAUACAGAUGGAAUGAAAACUUUGAAUUCUGACCAAUAUAAAACUCUUCAUUAGGGUCCGGC
rnacentral:lncRNA from 1 species